GACGAACGCUGGCGGCAUGCCUAACACAUGCAAGUCGAACGAGACCUUCGGGUCUAUUGGCGCACGGGUGCGUAACGCGGGGGAACCUGCCCUUAGGUUCGGAAUAACUCCCCGAGAGGGAUGCUAAGACCGGAUAAUGUCUUCGGACCAAAGAUUUAUCGCCUUUGGAUGGGCCCGUGUUGGAUUAGCUGGUUGGUAGGGUAAAAGCCUACCAAGGCGAGGAUCCAUAGCUGGUAUGAGAGGAUGAUCCGCCAGACUUGGACUGAGACACGGACCAGAAUCCUACGGGAGGCAGGAGUGUGGAAUAUUGGACACUGGGCGCAAGCCUGAUCCAGCAAUGCGGCGGGAGUGAUCAAGGCCUUAGGGUUGUAAAGCUCUCUUACCCGGGAUGAUAAUGACAGUACCGGGAGAAUAAGCUCCGGCUAACUCCGUG
rnacentral:rRNA from 1 species